GUAGGUGAACCUGCGGAAGGAUCAUUAACAAUUGUCCAUUUUCCUUUGCAUAUGGAUGGUUUUAAAUCCAUAUCCACCUUUUUGUGCACAUCAUUGACACGUUUGCUUUGGCAGUUUGCGAGGAGAGAUUUCCUUUACCCGUUGUCUCUUGUGGAGGGAAAUGGAAAGUGUUGAGGGGGGGAGAGUGAGGAAGAAAGGAGAAACUCUGCUUUCUCCCUAUGCCUUUUUUCCCCCCACCUUUCACCUCCUU
rnacentral:misc_RNA from 1 species